GGUAACAUUUUUUAAUUUUUUAGGAGUUCACUGAGCUUAAAUUUUUAUUUUUAUUUGUGGUUUAUUAAGUGGAAUUUUAAACUUUAUUAUAAAUAAUUAUAGAAAGUGAUGUUGAAAAAUUUUGUUCUAAACUAGGAUUAGAUACCCUAUUAUUAAAAAUGUUACCUUAAUUCCUGAUUAGUAUUAGUUAUGUUCUUGAAAGUUAAAGAUUUUGGCGGUAUUUUAGUCUGUUCAGAGGAACCUGUCCUUUAAUUGAUGAUCCACGAUAAGUUGUACUUUUUCUUUUAGUUUAUAUAUCAUCGUAGUUUAAAUAUUUUUAUAGAAUAUUAAUAUUUAUAGUUCUUUUUAUGAAGUAAAUCAGAUCAAGGUGUAGCGAAUGGAGGAGUUAUGAUGGGUUACAAAAAUUUAUUUUUAAGAUUCCUUAUUUCAAAAAAGGAAGAAUUUGGAUUUGACAGUAAUUUUAAUUAUUUUAUUAAGAUGAUAAUAGCUCUAAAAUAUGCACAUAUCGCCCGUCGCUUUCCCUUUAAAGUGAAAUAAGUCGUAACAAAGUAGGCUUACUGGAAAGUGAGCCUGGAAAGCGGAUUAGAGCUAGUAUAAGCAUUUUAUUUACAUUAAAGAGUUAGUUGUUAAAUUCAAUUUGAUCUGAGUUAAAUUUAUUAUUAAGUUUUGUAUAUUUUUCUUUUAUUAAAAUAAGAAUAUUAAGUUUUAUUAAUUGUUUUGAACAAAGUUUUUUUAUUAUAGUUUAAUAUUACUGUAAGGGAAUUUUAUAAAAUUUUUGUAAGAAUAAUUUAUUUUUU
rnacentral:rRNA from 1 species